UGGGGGACUGCAGGGAAGGCAUGAUUGUGUUUUGAAAUGUGAAGACAUGAGAUAUGGAAGGGGCCAGGGGUGAAAUUACAUGGUUAGUCUGUGUCCCCACCCAAAUCACAUCUUGAAUUGUAAUUCCCAUAAUCCUCAUGUGUCAUGGAGGGACCUGGUGGGAGGUAAUUGA